rnacentral:rRNA from 1 species
CAAGACAGCGGAGCGUCGUGGUUUAAGUUACGUAUGUUACUACGAAGAACCUCUACCAGGGUUUGACAUGCAAGUGGUAGGAAGCCGAAAGGUGACGACCCUUCGGGGAGCUUGCACAGGUGCUGCAUGGCUGUCGUCAGCUCGUGUCGUGAGAUGUUCGGUUAAGUCCGCUAACGAGCGCAACCCUCGCUGUGUGUUAUAUGUGUCACACGGGACUGCCGGUCUUAAGCCGGAGGAAGGUGGGGAUGAUGUCAAGUCAGCAUGGCCUUUAUAUCCUGGGCUACACACACGCUACAAUGGCCAACACAAUAGGUUGCUAAGCCGCGAGGUGGCGCCAAUCCAUAAAGUUGGUCUCAGUUCAGAUUGUAGGCUGCAACCCGCCUGCAUGAAGAUGGAGUUGCUAGUAACCGCAGGUCAGCUAUACUGCGGUGAAUACGUUCCCGGGGCUU